ensembl:lncRNA
UGCCAACACAAUCACUCUUCGCUCAAGCGUCUUGAUUCUCCAGGUUACUGCACUGUGGGUGAACCGUCCCCGGCCCGUCACUCAUUCUCCCUCCCUCACAACUUUGUCUCCAAUGAAACGGAUGAGGACAUCAUCUCUCCCUACGCCAGCUUCACCUCGCUGUCCGAGCGGGUGGCACCCAUCCUCAGCGGCUGGCUGGACAAGCUCUCUCCUCAAGGAAACUAUGUGUUCCAGAAGCGAUAUGUGAAGUUUGAUGGGAAGAACUUGAUGUACUAUGGUAGUGAAAAGGAUGCUUAUCCCAAAGGUGUGAUUCCCUUAGCUGCCAUACAAAUGGCCCGCGUAGCCAAAGACAAUAAAUUUGAGGUUGUCACAAGUCACAGGACAUUUGUCUUCAGAGCUGAUAAUGAUGUUCAGAGGAGCACAUGGUGCGGCACGUUGCAGGAGCGGGUCAAAGAACAGCUGGUUUUCGGCCGCUUACGUUUUGGCCCUGGCAGUCACUGCCAAAAGAACGGCUUCCUGGAGCUCAAAGGAACCAAGUCAAAGAUCUACACAGCCAUUAUAAUGGAGCAGAUCUGGUUGUACAAGAAUGAGCAGUGCUUUAAAAAUGGAAUUGGAAUUACUGUAAUUGAGGCCAGAGGAGCUACAAUUCGUGAUGGGAAGGGCAAGAGCUUUGAUCUCAUUACACCUUAUAAAACCUUCAGCUUUACGGCAGAGUCGGAGCGAGAGAAGAGGGACUGGAUAGAGGCCCUGCAGGAGUCUAUAGCGGAAACACUGUCUGAUUAUGAGGUGGCAGAGAAGAUCUGGUCCAACAGGUCCAACAAGAUCUGCGCAGACUGCAAAGCCAUCAAUCCAGACUGGGCAUCCAUCAAUCUCUGUGUGGUCAUCUGCAAGAACUGUGCAGGCCAGCAUCGAGGUCUCGGCACAAUGGUGUCGAAAGUGCAGAGUCUGAAACUAGACACCAGCGUGUGGAGCAAUGAGAUCGUCCAGCUCUUCAUAAUGCUUGGCAAUGAUAGAGCCAAUGAAUUUUGGGCGGCCAGACUUCCUGUGACUGAGGAGCUGGACUGUGACGCCUCCCCAGAGCAGCGGAAAGAGUUUAUCACCCACAAAUACAGAGAAGGCAGAUAUCGGCACCCUCAACCCAGUUUUAGCACUCAAGAGGACCUUCUUAAGGUAAUGGAUAAGCCAUUUACAUCCACAGGGGACAGAUCAUGCAAACCAAUGAUAACUUUAUCUUACUGUCAUUUUCUGGAUUCAGAUUCCUGUGUCUAUGAUGAGAUCAUGCAGUCCAUCCUGUACUCCGGCUACAUCUACAAGUCAAGCUCCUUGAACAAAGGGACAUUAUCUCGCAGAACCAGAGACGGUAGGCGACUAUGUUCUAUUCUCUUCUAUGAGUCUGACAGAUGUCAUGAGCCCAGUAUGAAGAUCGAUGUGAAAGACAUCAUCUGUUUAGGGGUUAGCCGAUUUCGAUACACAUUUGAACUUUACCUAACAUCUGAUAAACUGAUCCAGUUUGGCUUUGAGACUCCAGAUGCGUUACACAGUUGGGCGAGAGCGAUAGGGAAGGCCACCACACCUCUCAGCUGUCACUGCCUGCUGGCGCGAGAGUUCGAGCGAGUGGGCGUCCUGCGCUACAAGGCCAUGCUAGACCCACAGCAGUGGAAAGAAGGCUUCUUUGUUCUGCAGAAGUCCAACCUGUUCAUAUGCCCUGGAAAUGAUGGAGCCGCAGAGGAUAUUAUAAACCUGAAACGCCUACAGGAGCUCAGUGAGUCUGUUAGCUCAAUCACUAAGAAGGACAUCCUGGUUCUUGUUGAGAAAGGAAGGACUCUGCAUCUGCAGGGCACGGGCAGGACUGACUUCUCCCUGUGGUACGCAGACAUUCAGAAGGCAGCAGGAGGGAAAGGGAACACCCUGAAAGACCAGCAGCUCAGCAGAAAUGACAUCCCCAUCAUCGUUGACAGCUGCAUUGCCUUUAUAACUCAGUAUGAGAUACCUCAAAAGCCACAGCGUUUGGACCGAUACAAAGAGCUGAUUCGAGGGUUACCUCGGGUCAACAGAACGACUUUAGCAGCUCUCAUCAGUCAUCUCUACAGGGUGCAGAAGUGUGCUGAUCUCAAUCAGAUGUGCACUAAGAACCUGUCCCUGCUGUUCGCUCCCAGCCUGUUUCAGACUGAUGGGAAAGGGGAACAUGAGGUCAAAAUCAUAGAAGACCUCAUCGAUAACUACCUGUACAUAUUUGAUGAUUUGAUGUCAACAUUUAUUAUGCAAACCUCUGGUGUGGCUCUCCCACAGGUGUCUCCCACAAUGUGUGCUGAGGAGCUGACCAAUCAGGUGCUGUAUAUGAGAAAUAUUCCUGCGGGGGAAAAAGACGUGUGGAUGACCUUUGAGGCCAUUGAGGAAGGAGAGCUUGAGCGACCUCUUCACCCCAAAGAGAUGGUUCUGGAACAAGCUCUACAGUGGUGUAAGAUGGCUGAUCCCAGCUCAGCGUAUCUGGUGGUGAAGAAGGUGCCUAGAGGAGAAGCUAUUGACAUUUUCACAGGUGAAUUGCUGAAGUGUCGGGAAGAGCCGCCCAAGCUCUUGCAAGGAAACAAAUUCCAGGAGCACUCAUUUCAAAUUAAAGACCACAGACUGCUCCUGAUGAAGGACAAAAAAAGCAACAAACCUGAGAAAGAGUGGCAACUGAAAACCUUGAAGAUUUACAUGGGGAUCAGAAAGAAGUUAAAACCACCAACAAAAUGGGGAUUAACAGUGAUGCUGGAUAAACAGCAAUUGUACCUCAGCUGUUCCUGUGAGACUGAAUUAUGGGAUUGGAUGACUAAUUUACUAAAAGCACAGAAUGAUGAUUUGCGUCCACCUGUGAUGAGACGGCACUCUUCCUCUGACAUUUCCAAGCAGAAGUUUGGCACCAUGCCUCUAGUGCCCAUCAGAGGAGAGGAGAGCAAUACCAACACCACCAUGCUCUCCGCCAAUCAGACUCUGAGAAAGCUCCACACGAGAAGGGCUCUCUCAAUGUUCUUUGUAAGUAAUUCUUAUUAUCUGCAGAUUAAUCCAAUGCAUUAUAUAUAA